CACGUAGGGGACGAGCGUUGUCCGGAUUCAUUGGGCGUAAAGCGCGCGUAGGCGGCUCGGAAAGUCGGUCGUGAAAUGCCGGGGCUCAACCCCGGGACUGCGUCCGAUACUCCCGAGCUGGAGGCAGGUAGGGGAGAUCGGAAUUCCUGGUGUAGCGGUGAAAUGCGCAGAUAUCAGGAGGAACACCGGUGGCGAAGGCGGAUCUCUGGGCCUUGCCUGACGCUGAGGCACGAAGGCCAGGGGAGCAAACGGG
rnacentral:rRNA from 1 species